rnacentral:rRNA from 1 species
CAAGUCGAACGAGAGAGAAGGAGCUUGCUUCUUCGAUCGAGUGGCGAACGGGUGAGUAACGCGUGAGGAACCUGCCUCAAAGAGGGGGACAACAGUUGGAAACGACUGCUAAUACCGCAUAAGCCCACAGGUCGGCAUCGACCAGAGGGAAAAGGAGCAAUCCGCUUUGAGAUGGCCUCGCGUCCGAUUAGCUAGUUGGUGAGGUAAUGGCCCACCAAGGCAACGAUCGGUAGCCGGACUGAGAGGUUGAACGGCCACAUUGGGACUGAGACACGGCCCAGACUCCUACGGGAGGCAGCAGUGGGGAAUAUUGCACAAUGGGGGAAACCCUGAUGCAGCGACGCCGCGUGGAGGAAGAAGGUCUUCGGAUUGUAAACUCCUGUUGUUGAGGAAGAUAAUGACGGUACUCAACAAGGAAGUGACGGCUAACUACGUGCCAGCAGCCGCGGUAAAACGUAGGUCACAAGCGUUGUCCGGAAUUACUGGGUGUAAAGGGAGCGCAGGCGGGAAGACAAGUUGGAAGUGAAAUCCAUGGGCUCAACCCAUGAACUGCUUUCAAAACUGUUUUUCUUGAGUAGUGCAGAGGUAGGCGGAAUUCCCGGUGUAGCGGUGGAAUGCGUAGAUAUCGGGAGGAACACCAGUGGCGAAGGCGGCCUACUGGGCACCAACUGACGCUGAGGCUCGAAAGUGUGGGUAGCAAACAGGAUUAGAUACCCUGGUAGUCCACACCGUAAACGAUGAUUACUAGGUGUUGGAGGAUUGACCCCUUCAGUGCCGCAGUUAACACAAUAAGUAAUCCACCUGGGGAGUACGACCGCAAGGUUGA